rnacentral:misc_RNA from 1 species
CAUAUGUCAAUCUCUUGCCUUUCCUGAGAAAGGAAAUGAAAGAAUUCGAGACAUUAUCAAUCCAAAAUUUAUUUCAUCUACGAAGCAAUGAUAACAAUCAUCUUCAAGUUAUCAGUUAUUCACAGCAAGAAUAUUCAGCUUGUGUUAGACAUUAUAGUUUAUCAAUUGAUAUAUUCCCCAGAAAAGUCAAAGAAACAUACCCAUCCUCAAUAUCAUGG